rnacentral:rRNA from 1 species
AGUGAACGCUGGCGGCAGGCCUAACACAUGCAAGUCGAACGGCAGCACAGGAGAGCUUGCUCUCUGGGUGGCGAGUGGCGGACGGGUGAGGAAUACAUCGGAAUCUACCCUUUCGUGGGGGAUAACGUAGGGAAACUUACGCUAAUACCGCAUACGAUCUGAGGAUGAAAGCAGGGGACCGCAAGGCCUUGCGCGAUUGGAUGAGCCGAUGUCCGAUUAGCUAGUUGGCGGGGUAAAGGCCCACCAAGGCGACGAUCGGUAGCUGGUCUGAGAGGAUGAUCAGCCACACUGGAACUGAGACACGGUCCAGACUCCUACGGGAGGCAGCAGUGGGGAAUAUUGGACAAUGGGGGCAACCCUGAUCCAGCCAUGCCGCGUGUGUGAAGAAGGCCUUCGGGUUGUAAAGCACUUUUGUUGGGAAAGAAAUCCUGUCGGCUAAUACCCGGCGGGGAUGACGGUACCCAAAGAAUAAGCACCGGCUAACUUCGUGCCAGCCGCCGCAGUAAUAC